rnacentral:rRNA from 1 species
AACGAACGCUGGCGGCAGGCUUAACACAUGCAAGUCGAACGCCCCCGCAAGGGGGAGUGGCAGACGGGUGAGUAACACGUGGGAACAUGCCCUUCGGUUCGGAACAACGUUUGGAAACGGACGCUAAUACCGGAUACGCCCUUUUGGGGAAAGGCUUCGGCCGCCGAAGGAUUGGCCCGCGUUCGAUUAGCUUGAUGGCGGGGUAACGGCCCACCAUGGCGACGAUCGAUAGCUGGUCUGAGAGGAUGGCCAGCCACAUUGGGACUGAGACACGGCCCAAACUCCUACGGGAGGCAGCAGUGGGGAAUAUUGGACAAUGGGCGCAAGCCUGAUCCAGCCAUGCCGCGUGAGUGAUGACGGCCUUAGGGUUGUAAAGUACUUUCAGCGGGGAGGAAGGCAGUGAACUUAAUACGUUCGCUGAUUGACGUUACCCGCAGAAGAAGCACCGGCUAACUCCGUGCAGCCGCCGCAGUAAAAC